GGGACGGGCCUUUCAGGCAUCCUCUCCCAAACUUUUCAGGGCCGCCCGGCAACGGUGCGGCCCAUUUUUUUGCGCUUC
rnacentral:sRNA from 2 species